UUUAAAUUGAGAGUUUGAUCCUGGCUCAGGAUGAACGCUGGCGGCGUGCUUAACACAUGCAAGUCGAGCGAUGAAGUUUCCUUCGGGAAACGGAUUAGCGGCGGACGGGUGAGUAACACGUGGGUAACCUGCCUCACAGAGUGGAAUAGCCUUCCGAAAGGAAGAUUAAUACCGCAUAACGUUGAAAGAUGGCAUCAUCAUUUAAC
rnacentral:rRNA from 1 species